UGGGGAAUAUUGGACAAUGGGCGAAAGCCUGAUCCAGCAAUGCCGCGUGGGUGAAGAAGGUCUUCGGAUUGUAAAUCCCUUUCGGCGGGGACGAUGAUGACGGUACCCGCAGAAGAAGCUCCGGCUAACUUCGUGCCAGCAGCCGCGGUAAUACGAAGGGGGCUAGCGUUGCUCGGAAUGACUGGGCGUAAAGGGCGCGUAGGCGGUUCGUACAGUUGGGUGUGAAAUUCCUGGGCUUAACCUGGGGGCUGCACCCAAUACGUGCGGGCUUGAGUGUGGAAGAGGGUCGUGGAAUUCCCAGUGUAGAGGUGAAAUUCGUAGAUAUUGGGAAGAACACCGGUGGCGAAGGCGGCGACCUGGUCCAUUACUGACGCUGAGGCGCGAAAGCGUGGGGAGCAAACAGGAUUAGAUACCCCCGUAGUCC
rnacentral:rRNA from 1 species